AUGGGUGAUUACAUUUCUGAACGCACCCAUAGCUAAACAAUCAGCUGGCUAAUGGUUACUUUUGAACAUGAACCCAUGUUCGCAUAAAUGUUGUAACUCCGUGUGUGGGCUCUACAUAACGUAGAUCCGGCAACGAGAGAUGAACAACGAGCUAGGCAGUCGAAAAUGGUGCAUUUCUCUGUCUGUACGUGGACAGAUUGAUUAUGAGGGCGGAAACACGAGCAAAAGUAUUGUUGCACUUGUGGCAACGAGCAUUGUUAGCAUCGACUCUGGUGAAGUGUAACCACACUUUAACGUGUAGCUCUCUCCACCAUCGUCACUGAUUAAGAGCAGCGUGCUGUAACGUGUGAGAGAAGUUAGAAUUUUAUGUCUGCUCUGACACUGGUCCCUAUCUCCAGUCCCACGUCUCGUCAGUCCUGCUACCCUGUCCUGGACCCACCACUCUACUGCUUCCUUGGAUUCCUCUCCAGACCUGCUUUCCCAGCCCCAACUCCCCUCACUUCAGCCUCAGCACCUGGCUCCCUGUAACCCGCCCAAGCUUUCCCUGGCCUGCACCCCAUCUUCCCCCUGUUUUUCAACAAAUACCGUGGUUACCUUAUCCCAGUCUCCUUGUCUGAGUCUGCUCUUGGGUUCACCUGCUUCGCACUUCGUAACAGGUAGAGAACAACGCAUGGAAGAAAACAUAACUGUGGUAAGGGGUUCUAGAAGUGCUGCAGAUACAUUAUAAAUGUUCCUAAUUAUAUAAUUACUCCUGUCUGUACAGAAAUAAAUGAAAUCAUUGAAAACACUACACCAAAGAGCAUAAUUUAGCCACAGAUGAUCAAUAACUUAUUUUUUCAAAUGCUGUUGAUUGUGUUUUGUUUCAUCAUAAGCUCAUAAAAGCCUACAGUUGGGAAUCCGGCAAUUGGGCAGCCUGCGGGAAAUAUCAAACACCUGAUUGUUGAUUUGUGGCUGUCAAUGUGACUGUCAAUGAACAGAGGGCAGCAGUUAAAAGGUCUUUCACAAUAUUUCAAAAUGCAAAAAACGGUCUAUGAGUGAGUGCCACUGGAAAGUUGGUGGACUAUAAUUUCCUCAUAUUGUACAAUCUGUGCCUCUAUUUUCCCUUAGCCUAUAUGCUAUUGGUUGCAUUUAAGACAGGGCUGUUCGUUUUAUACUUUUUUUAUUUA